UUAACGCACUUAGUACGCGUAUCAGCUGCAAUGGACUACACACUGGUGGUAAUGAUUGCUAUGGUCAUGGUAGGCCUGGCCACUGGUCGCGCUCAGGUUCAGACUUUCGGUUUCGGUCCCAGCGGAAUUGGCCUUGCUGACAGUCAACAACAGCAACAACUGUAUCAACCUGUGGGCACUCAUAUACAAGGUCUGCGGUUGCAGGUCACCAACCCUGCGGGUUUCAAUUUGGUACAGGGGACAACAGGGCCCCUGCCUUCUGCCCCCAUCAACCGAAAGUAUAUUCUCCAAAUAAAAGUAAAGCCGACAGGAGACAGAAAACUUAAAUAUGAGACGCAAAUUGUGCCAUCAAAUUCCCCUUUUGCUGUACCAGAAGCUGAUUUAAGAAGCUCAUUCUCUCUGCACCAACUGCCUGCUCAGUCAGCGUUUGCCAAUGUACUGCCCCUGCCACAGCGGCUGUCUAACGCUGUUCUUGAAGACACUGCACAGUUCAGAACUGCAUCAGCGGCCGGCCUCCUAGGAGUAGCCUUCUCACCGUCUUCAGACGUGUCUCAGCUCAAAUUCAGUGGAAGUUUUGCAAACUACUCCUACUAACUGCAGUCAUAACUUAACCAAAGCCGAAACUGUGAAAUCAGAAAGAGAUACAACGGAUGUACUUAACGAAUUGGUGAACCCCUUAAAACAAGAAUUUACUCAAAAAGUGAAUGAGUCCCAGCUGUGUGGUGGAUUCUGCAGAAAGAUCUAGUCUCUGACGGACACGGCCUCUGCCAGACUCUGUAUCUGCCUCACCCAGUCACAGCUUGACUCGGUCUCAGCCUCACCCAGUGUCUGCGUGACUCGAACUGUGCAUCAUCCGUUCUGUAGAACCAGGUCUUUGGAGAGAUGACCCGGCAAAGUUAAGGGUCUUACAGAGGUCGGACCGUGCACACAGUGUCCGAGAAAGACCGUGUCCAUCAGAGACACCUUGAGGCAUAGUUCCGUUCCUAUAGAGUCUGGUUCUGGCAGGCAUCCGGUUUCCCUAAUCGAACCCUAUCUUAAAUGAUCUCUUCCGUACACGGAAAAUGCAGCAGGUCUCUCCCACACUCUCAGCCUCUCCCGGUCUUUUACGAUCUCGGUCUGUGCUCCACACGGCUCUACUUGAUACGGCCCGUGCUUCACCCGGUCUCAGCUAGAGGUAGUCUGUGAAUCAGUGUCUCUGCUUCGUUUUUCAAACUUUAUUUCGAAAAUAUCGAAUAUUUUUAGUUA